rnacentral:rRNA from 1 species
CCUACGGGUGGCAGCAGUUGGGAAUAUUGGACAAUGGGGGGAACCCUGAUCCAGCCAUGCCGCGUGUGUGAAGAAGGCCCUCGGGUUGUAAAGCACUUUCAGUGAGGAAGAACGCCUGGUGGUUAAUACCCAUCAGGAAAGACAUCACUCACAGAAGAAGCACCGGCUAACUCCGUGCCAGCAGCCGCGGUAAUACGGAGGGUGCGAGCGUUAAUCGGAAUUACUGGGCGUAAAGCGCGCGUAGGUGGCUUGAUAAGCCGGUUGUGAAAGCCCCGGGCUCAACCUGGGAACGGCAUCCGGAACUGUCAAGCUAGAGUGCAGGAGAGGAAGGUAGAAUUCCCGGUGUAGCGGUGAAAUGCGUAGAGAUCGGGAGGAAUACCAGUGGCGAAGGCGGCCUUCUGGACUGACACUGACACUGAGGUGCGAAAGCGUGGGUAGCAAACAGGAUUAGAUACCCGAGUAGUC